rnacentral:lncRNA from 8 species
GCCAAAUGCUCAAGACAGGCUUGAUGCAAAUGAAUGCAUGCGAAACAUUGUUUUAUUUUCAUUCAAUUGUUUAAUUUAAUUUCUUACAUUUGAUUACAGACAGUACACCUAUGUUGCAAUUACAUCUGAAAAAUGCAUGAAUGAUUGUAGAGCAGUGGUCACCAACUGGUCGAUCGCGACUGGUCGAAUCUUCAAGGCAUUCCUAGUCGAUCGUCAAACAUUUCUGUAGAAAAGCCAACGAUAAAGGCAUAAAGGUUUGCACUCCUUUGUUUCCCGUGUUGCGCUGUUGACGGUAUGUGUAGUUGAUUCAGAAGGCCUGCGCACCGGGUGAUCAAAGUGUUCCUAUUAUGAACCAAUUCAUUUGUCCGCGGACAAGGAGAUCUGUGGCUAAAUCGAAUGCGCCUACUGUGCUGGCCAAUCAGAUAGCUCAAAUCACCGUGCCUACCUACAGCUCCAACAACCCUCCGCACAGCGAAGUUUGAUGCUAGCCUACGAACAACAUGAAUGUUUGUCUGAGGCGGUGCAACUCGAGUUUCGCCAUCAGGUGGAAGACUGUCUCCUCUCUCUGUUCAGUCUCAACUGAAGGAGAGAACAACGUCCAUGAGAGGCGGACACUGCUGGUCUCUGCCUCCCUCCACUGAGACUAAUGCUGUGUUCAAAAUAACUGGGAACUCCGACGUCAGAGCUUCAAGACAACUGGGAACUUGGAUGUUUACAAUCCAAAUGAUUGCACAAUGGCAGCGGUGGUG